rnacentral:rRNA from 1 species
GUGCAGCAGUCGCGAAAACUCCGCAAUGCGCGAAAGCGUGACGGGGGAACCCCAAGUGCCAGCACAAUGUGCUGGCUUUUCUGGAGUCUAAACAGCUCCAGGAAUAAGGGCUGGGUAAGACCGGUGCCAGCCGCCGCGGUAACACCGGCAGCCCGAGUGAUGUCCGCGUUUAUUGGGCUUAAAGCGUUCGUAGCCGGCCCGUUAAGUCCCUGGUCAAAUCCGACGGCUCAACCGUCGGCUAUCUGGGGAUACUGGCGGGCUUGAGGCCGGGAGAGGUCAGAGGAACUCCUGGGGUAGGGGUAAAAUCCGAUAAUCCUGGGGGGACCACCAGUGGCGAAGGCGUCUGACUGGAACGGGCCUGACGGUGAGGGACGAAACCCUGGGGAGCGAUCCGGAUUAGAUACCCCGGUAGUCC